GAUGAGGAUUCGGUAGGAGAAUCUGAGGAAGGAAAAGAGGAUACAAGUGUUCAGAAGUCAUUCAGUUAUGAAGCACUCGUCUAUGCAAACCAUGCUGGUGGAUCAUUUUGUUCAAAUACAAGCGGCAGCAGCAGUGACGAGGAUUUAGUCCACUACAGCCAUCAUAUUUCAGACACAAAGCACAAGUACCCUGAGGAUAAAACUCCAGCAAAUCAAUCUGCAGAGCAGAGUUCAAAACGUAGUCUUCUUUCCUGGAGGAAGAGGAAGUUGAGUUUCAAAUAUCCUAAAACCAAGGGGGAGCGAUUGUUGAAGAAACAUUAUGGAGAGGAUGGUGCAGACGAUAUAGGCUUUGAUCGCCGACAGCUUUGCUCAUCUGACGAGUCUUCUUCUAGGGUACGUCUCCUUUUUUCUUGCCAAAUAGUUCCGAUCGCCUUGAUCUUUCUUUGUCUUGAACCCUAUACCCCUAUAAUAAUGGUAGAGUCAGGGGUG
rnacentral:lncRNA from 1 species